rnacentral:rRNA from 1 species
GACGAACCGUGCGAACGUUGUUCGGAAUCACUGGGCUUAAAGGGCGCGUAGGCGGGUCACAAAGUCCGGGGUGGAAAUACCCCCAGCUUAACCUGGGGAAGUGGCCUUGGAUACUGGUGACCUCGAGGAGGGUACGGGGCAUCUGGAAGCGUUGGGGUGGAGCGGUGAAAAUGCGGUUGGAUAUCCAAACGGGAACUCCGGUGGCGAAAGCGAGGU